CAGCAGCCGCGGUAAUACAGAGGGUGCGAGCGUUAAUCGGAUUUACUGGGCGUAAAGCGUGCGUAGGCGGCUUCUUAAGUCGGAUGUGAAAUCCCUGAGCUUAACUUAGGAAUUGCAUUCGAUACUGGGAAGCUAGAGUAUGGGAGAGGAUGGUAGAAUUCCAGGUGUAGCGGUGAAAUGCGUAGAGAUCUGGAGGAAUACCGAUGGCGAAGGCAGCCAUCUGGCCUAAUACUGACGCUGAGGUACGAAAGCAUGGGGAGCAAACAGGAUUAGAACCCGCGUAGUCCCUGUCUCUUAUACA
rnacentral:rRNA from 1 species